rnacentral:rRNA from 1 species
UGGGGAAUCUUGGACAAUGGGGGCAACCCUGAUCCAGCCAUGCCGCGUGAGUGAUGAAGGCCUUAGGGUCGUAAAGCUCUUUCGCCUGUGAAGAUAAUGACGGUAGCAGGUAAAGAAACCCCGGCUAACUCCGUGCCAGCAGCCGCGGUAAUACGGAGGGGGUUAGCGUUGUUCGGAAUUACUGGGCGUAAAGCGCACGUAGGCGGACCAGAAAGUUGGGGGUGAAAUCCCGGGGGCUCAACCCCGGAACUGCCUCCAAAACUAUUGGUCUAGAGUUCGAGAGAGGUGAGUGGAAUUCCAAGUGUAGAGGUGAAAUUCGUAGAUAUUUGGAGGAACACCAGUGGCGAAGGCGGCUCACUGGCUCGAUACUGACGCUGAGGUGCGAAAGUGUGGGGAGCAAACAGGAUUAGAUACCCUGGUAGUCCACGCCGUAAAACGAUGAGUGCUAGUCGUCGG